UCAGGAUGAACGCUAGCGACAGGCUUAACACAUGCAAGUCGAGGGGCAGCAUAGAAGUAGCAAUACUUUGGUGGCGACCGGCGCACGGGUGAGUAACGCGUAUGCAACCUACCUAUCAGAGGGGAAUAACCCGGCGAAAGUCGGACUAAUACCGCAUAAAACAGGGGCACCGCAUGGUGAUAUUUGUUAAGAAAUUCGCUGAUAGAUGGGCAUGCGUUCCAUUAGGUAGUUGGUGAGGUAACGGCUCACCAAGCCGACGAUGGAUAGGGAACUGAGAGGUUGGUCCCCCACACUGGUACUGAGACACGGACCAGACUCCUACGGGAGGCAGCAGUGAGGAAUAUUGGUCAAUGGGCGGGAGCCUGAACCAGCCAAGUCGCGUGAAGGAAGAAGGAUCUAUGGUUCGUAAACUUCUUUUGCAGGGGAAUAAAGUGCAGGACGUGUCCUGUUUUGUAUGUACCCUGAGAAUAAGGAUCGGCUAACUCCGUGCCAGCAGCAGC
rnacentral:rRNA from 1 species